rnacentral:lncRNA from 1 species
CCGCGAAGUUUUCCUCCCAUCCGCGCGAAGACAUCUUCCUUCCUGGCGCGCGAAGACGGUUCCCUCCCUCCUGGCGCGCGAAGCUGGCUGAGAGGUUCACGUACCUCGCGCGAUCUCCCCUCCUCCAGCAAGGUAAACUUCAUGGAUCCCAAUCUGUCCCAACUCGUUUCCUGUACCAUGGCGGUCUAGGGUUCCUAGGGUUUGGGGAUGGGCCGGUUUGGGAAUUGUGUGCCGUCUAUGGGUAUAUGGACGAGGACAGAUUGUAGGGUUUACAGUUGUGUUCUGGCUCUUCUUUUAUCUGCCUGCGUUCUCCUCUCUGCCAUUCAGAAAUUUGUCCCUUCCCUUGCAGGUAUUGGGAUUCGGUAUGGAACUAUCCCGGCUCUGAUCUCCGAGAACUCUAUACGAUACGUGAGUGAUUGCUAGAUUCUGUAUUCUUGCCAAAGCAUUACACACAACUUGAUCCUCAAAUGAAUAGAAUUUGUCAUCAAAUAGGAAGCUGCACUUGUAUUGAUUAGUAAUAGAGAUAUUUUUCUUUUUAACAAAAAAGAUGUAAUAACUUGCAGAACCGAGGGUGUGGAGCUUUCUUUCAGGAGUACGUAUAACCCAUCACAUCAAAAUAGCAUUCGGCUAAACAUCGACAAGAGGUGCCA